UUGGGCACGUCCCCCCGCUCGCUGGGCUGUGGGUGCUCCAAAGCCCAGUCUGAGAUGGGGACUGGAACGAAUGGCUCCAGAGGGUUCGUGGUGCUCCCGACAGAGGCACGAGGACCCCACGCGCGGGCGACGUGUCGGCACAGUCCCCUCUCCGUGCGCCCCAGGACAUCCCUGCACCUUUGAACUCCAGCAGAGCCAGUUUUGGGUGGCUGUGUGGAGGGCUGGAUUUGGCAUGGUGCUUGCCCUCAUUUUGGAGCUCUGUGAGGAGCACAGGGUGGACCAGGGUGUGUAAGUGCUCCCAGCCAUCCCUGCCAUCCCUCCAACCCCUCCCUGCACCGCAGCAGACACUGUCUGUGGCUGGGGGUGAUCCCAGGAGCUGUGGGGCCGCCCAGCACCCAA